rnacentral:rRNA from 1 species
CGGCGAGUGAAGCGGCAACAGCUCAAAUUUGAAAUCUGGCGUCUUUGGCGUCCGAGUUGUAAUUUGCAGAGGGCGCUUUGGCAUUGGCAGCGGUCCAAGUUCCUUGGAACAGGACGUCACAGAGGGUGAGAAUCCCGUACGUGGUCGCUAGCCUUUACCGUGUAAAGCCCCUUCGACGAGUCGAGUUGUUUGGGAAUGCAGCUCUAAAUGGGAGGUAAAUUUCUUCUAAAGCUAAAUACUGGCCAGAGACCGAUAGCGCACAAGUAGAGUGAUCGAAAGAUGAAAAGCACUUUGGAAAGAGAGUUAAAAAGCACGUGAAAUUGUUGAAAGGGAAGCGCUUGCAGCCAGACUUGCCUGUAGUUGCUCAUCCGGGUUUUUACCCGGUGCACUCUUCUAUAGGCAGGCCAGCAUCAGUUUGGGCGGUUGGAUAAAGGUCUCUGUCACGUACCUCCUCUCGGGGAGAACUUAUAGGGGAGACGUAAUGCAACCAGCCUGGACUGAGGUCCGCGCAUCUGCUAGGAUGCUGGCGUAAUGGCUGUAAGCGGCCCGUCUUGAAACACGGACCAAGGAGUCUAACAUCUAUGCGAGUGUUUGGGUGUCAAGCCCGAGCGCGUAAUGAAAGUGAACGGAGGUGGGAACCUUUCGGGGUGCACCAUCGACCGAUCCUGAUGUCUUCGGAUGGAUUUGAGUAAGAGCAUA